UGAGGAGGUGUGUCCUAGUAGGAAGACCACUGUUAACACUGAGGUGGUGUAGUAGGAAGACCACUGUUAACACUGAGGAGGUGUGUCCCAGUAGGAAGACCACUGUUAACACUGAGGAGGUGUGUCCUAGUAGGAAGACCACUGUUAACACUGAGGAGGUGUGUCCUAUAGGAAGACCACUGUUAACACUGAGGAGGUGUGUCCUAGUAGGAAGACCACUGUUAACACUAAGGAGGUGUGUCCUAGUAGGAAGACCACUGAGGUGGUGUGUCCUAGUAGGAAGACCACUGAGGUGGUGUGUCCUAGUAGGAAGACCACUGAGGUGGUGUGUCCUAGUAGGAAGAUCUUCGUUUCUGGCCAUUUUGAGCCUGUAAUCAAACCCACAAAUGCUGACGCUCCAGAUACUCAAAUAGUCUAAAGAAGGCCAGUUGUAUUACUUCUUUAAUUAGGACAACAGUUUUCAGGUGUGCUAACAUCAUUGCAAAGGGGUUUUCUAAUGAUCAAUUAGCCUUUUAAAAUGAUAAACUUGGGUUAUCUAACACAACGUGCUAUUGGAACACAGGAGUGAUGGUUGCUGAUAAUGUACGCAUAUUAGAUAUUACAUAAAAAAUCUGCCGUUUCCAGCUACAAUAGUAAUUUACAACAUUAACAAUGUCUACACUGUAUUUCUG
ensembl:lncRNA